CGUGGCCACCUCCGAGGCGGGCCGGACCAACGGGAUGAGCACUGGACCAGGAGUCCCAAGACUUGGAGUUCAGGUCGGCCUCCAACUAGGCCAAUCCCUGUGAUUCCCUGGGCCUCGGGUGUCUCAUGAGUAAAAUAAAGGGCACGGAGCAAAGAAGAAUAAGGUCCCUUUCAGCUACAACAGUUUGCCGUUCCCACUUGACCUUGUGGAGCAGCAGUUAUGGGCUCUCCUGUUGGAGUUCACCCAAGGAAACGGGACAGGACUCGAAGACCCUACUGAAACCACCACAGACAGGGCUCCUGUCCUCCUGCGGAACAAGGAGACACAAGACACCAACCCUCUUGGACCAGCCACAGAAUCACGGCCGAGAAUUCAGGCAAAUGACGGUUCUACAGAGCUGGCAAUCUACAACAACAUCCGGAUGAAGAUGAACAGACCUCGAGAGGGGCGAUCUCAAUAAACCACUUAACGGGCAGAAAUGCCGAGGCGA